rnacentral:rRNA from 1 species
UACGUAGGGGGCUAGCGUUGUCCGGAAUCAUUGGGCGUAAAGAGCGUGUAGGCGGCCCGGUAAGUCCGCUGUGAAAGUCGGGGGCUCAACCCUCGGAUGCCGGUGGAUACUGUCGGGCUCGAGUACGGAAGAGGCGAGUGGAAUUCCUGGUGUAGCGGUGAAAUGCGCAGAUAUCAGGAGGAACACCGGUGGCGAAGGCGGCUACCUGGACAGAAACUGACGCCGAGGCGCGAAAGCUAGGGGAGCAAACAGG